UUAUGAAUUUGUCAAGCUAGUCUAUGUUAAUUAGACUGUACAUCUAGUUUUUAGACUUAACUUCAUUCAGUUAAAUAGUUAAUCUGAAUCUUAAUCGACCCCUAAAGUGAUUGAAUAAAAAUAAUAAAAAAGACUAAAAGAUUUAUUCCCACCCAAGUAUAGUGAAAUCUUAAACUCUCCCAACACAAAUCUCACUUUCAUAAUUAUCCUAAAUUCCUCACAUUUGGAACCCUAAAUCCUCUCCAAGCUUGUAGAAGAAUAUAUAAUUUCCCUCAGGGAAAUGAGAGUCUCGUGGAUGAUCCGCGCAAUUGGGGCCGUAGGAUCAGUAACGAAGAUUAUGAUGACGACGAUGAUGAUGAAGAGGAAGAAGAGGAGGAAGAUAGGAGUUUGGAUCUGUUAGUUAGAUUUGUUGAGAAUAUGUUCAAGAAGAUUUCUAGAAGAGCUAGAAAGGCAGUACGCUCCGUUUAGCCAGUCUCGAUCUCGACCAAUGUGGUUGGGUUUUUCUGUUAAUGGAGUUCUGAUUCUCGCGUUCCUGUGGAUUUUGAAGGCAUUUCUUGAGGUUUCACGGUUCCGGUGCUGAACAAAUGUUCCAGUUUGAAGCACCAGUGUUCGACCAAAGUAGUUUCCGUUUCAACUUUUACUACUAAAGUCCCAGAACCAGCUUUUAUGGAUGGUUUUUUGUCACCAGGAAAGAAGAAGAGAAACAUGCUUAGUAUAGAAAAAAGAAAUUUGAGACAAUUGAAUUUCAUUUUCAUUUGUGAAGCUCAUUUAAGUAGUGUUGAUUAAUUAUUUCUUUGGUCUUUUCUUUUGCGGCGAUGUGGUUGCAUGUACUGUUUGCUAGAGUGUCUUAUGUUCAAAUAAAUUGCAUAAGGUGGAUAAGUUCCAUGAUCUUAAAGUUAACUGGAAGACCGGUGAAUUUCAUCUUCUCUGUUUCUGCGAUGACUUUCCUAUUGUUAUAGCAGAUUGUCACGCUGGGGCUUGAGCUAAUAUUACCAGAUUAUAACUUUUGCCAGAGCUUUGCUAGCUCUUGUUUUGUAAUCCUCCGACUAACUUUUGUACAUCCUAUUCGUAACAAAAUUUUCAGAAAUUUUUUUCA